rnacentral:rRNA from 1 species
AGUGAACGCUGGCGGUAGGCCUAACACAUGCAAGUCGAACGGCAGCACAGUAAGAGCUUGCUCUUACGGGUGGCGAGUGGCGGACGGGUGAGGAAUACAUCGGAAUCUACUUUUUCGUGGGGGAUAACGUAGGGAAACUUACGCUAAUACCGCAUACGACCUACGGGUGAAAGCAGGGGAUCUUCGGACCUUGCGCGAUUGAAUGAGCCGAUGUCGGAUUAGCUAGUUGGCGGGGUAAAGGCCCACCAAGGCGACGAUCCGUAGCUGGUCUGAGAGGGUGAUCAGCCGCACUGGAACUGAGACACGGUCCAGACUCCUACGGGAGGCAGCAGUGGGGAAUAUUGGACAAUGGGCGCAAGCCUGAUCCAGCCAUACCGCGUGGGUGAAGAAGGCCUUCGGGUUGUAAAGCCCUUUUGUUGGGAAAGAAAAGCAGCAGGUUAAUACCCCGCUGUUCUGACGGUACCCAAAGAAUAAGCACCGGCUAACUUCGUG